rnacentral:ncRNA from 1 species
CCUGCCGAGGAGCGCUGCGACCCUGUGUGAUUCCCGGGGCCAGGCUCGGCAACCGUUCAACGGCGCUCACAAACC